AGGAUAGGGGGAGUUAUAUGUGUGAGAGUGCUGUGCGGAAAUAUAUAAUGAACUAAGGUGGAAGCUAAAAACAGUUUAAGUGAAAUGAGUGAUAAAAUAUAACAACUAAAUUCUUUUUAUAAUAAAUAGUACAUACAUGACAUUAACAAACGCUGAUUGAGGAAACAAAGCCUUAUUUUUUUAAGCACGUUAUACAGUGACUAACUUCAUGCGUAAAUCACUGACGAUCGUAUUCGUGGUGUUGGUGUGUGCAGUAAUGCUGUGUGCGUCCCAGAAGGCGGGUGGCGGUAAGGGCAGGCCGAAGUCGACAAAAGCUCCCGCGCAAAAGCCAGCAGGAACACGGGCACCCAACACGAGAGAUAACGGCGGUAGCGGCGGUAGUGGAAGGCCCACCCGUCCACCACCAUCCGGACGCUAAGAUGACGAUCUCCCAUCUCGAGCCUUUGCAACACCAGUUUAUUAUUUGUUUCAAAUUAUAACUAUGUGACUAAAUUUUAGAAAUUGUAUAUUCGAAAAUGCAAAUGUGAACUGUUUUACCGAUUUAAAGGUACAAUGUAAUUGUAUAGACCAAUCCUUUUUUUCACAAAUUGUAUGUAAUUUAAAAUUGCAAAAGAAAUACUGAUCGUU